rnacentral:rRNA from 1 species
AUUGAACGCUGGCGGCAUGCCUUACACAUGCAAGUCGAACGGCAGCACGGGAGCAAUCCUGGUGGCGAGUGGCGAACGGGUGAGUAAUAUAUCGGAACGUGCCCAGUCGUGGGGAUAACGUAGCGAAAGCUACGCUAAUACCGCAUACGAUCUAUGGAUGAAAGCGGGGGAUCGCAAGACCUCGCGCGAUUGGAGCGGCCGAUAUCAGAUUAGGUAGUUGGUGAGGUAAAGGCUCACCAAGCCGACGAUCUGUAGCUGGUCUGAGAGGACGACCAGCCACACUGGGACUGAGACACGGCCCAGACUCCUACGGAGGCAGCAGUGGGGAAUUUUGGACAAUGGGCGCAAGCCUGAUCCAGCAAUGCCGCGUGCAGGAUGAAGGCCUGGUGUAA